AAAUGUGGUACACAUUAGCCUAGCCGCGCUAGACAACCCACGGCAACGAAUUUAAUUCUCUGCCAGGGUGGGUCUAGUUACCCUCCAUAAGGCUCGAGGCUGGAUUCUCCUAAAACUGGCCGGACCAAUCACCAUGAAUGUAGAGUCAGAAGGCGGGCAUAACUAAGUGACGACAGAGGCGUGACGAUUCUGACAGAAACAACCGGCGCACAAUAAACAGUUAUCUUUGGACUCGGCUUUGACCACAGCCCUUAAAGAUUUGAAGCUAAAAUUCAACUUGAAAGAUAAACAAAGGACGGCACUGAAGGGUUUGAUUGAGAAGAAAGACGUAUUUGGACUUAUGCCGACGGGAUAUGGCAAAUCCUUAAUAUACCAGUUGGCUCCGCUGGUUGGGAAGCUAAUGGGACUUAGCCACAAUUCUCCGGUGCUCUCGGAACUCCGUCAACCUAUUCGUUGCGCUGAUUGGUUGUAUACCUACCCAAUUGCUGCAGAGUGAUUUGAAAGACAACCUUUUAGCCCGCCUCCCUCCCUGUCGAGCGGCCCUAGACCCUUGUGCCUUCAGAACAUGGGUCUAGCACGGCU